rnacentral:rRNA from 1 species
UACCAGCACCCCGAGUGGUCGGGACGAUUAUUGGGCCUAAAGCAUCCGUAGCCGGUUCUGCAAGUCCCCCGUUAAAUCCAGCCUGCUCAACAGAUGGGCCGCGGAGGAUACUACAGAGCUAGGAGGCAGGAGAGGCAAGCGGUACUCAGUGGGUAGGGGUAAAAUCCGUUGAUCCAUUGAAGACCACCAGUGGCGAAGGCGGCUUGCCAGAAUGCGCUCGACGGUGAGGGAUGAAAGCUGGGGGAGCAAAGCCGG